UACGUAGGGGGCUAGCGUUGUCCGGAUUUAUUGGGCGUAAAGAGCGUGUAGGCGGCCAGGUAGGUCUGCUGUGAAAACUCGAGGCUCAACCUCGAGACGUCGGCGGAAACCAUCUGGCUAGAGUCCGGAAGAGGAGAGUGGAAUUCCUGGUGUAGCAGUGAAAUGCGCAGAUAUCAGGAAGAACACCCGUGGCGAAGGCGGCUCUCUGGGACGGUACUGACGCUGAGACGCGAAAGCGUGGGGAGCGAACAGG
rnacentral:rRNA from 1 species